GAAGGGAAACCGAGUCUUAACUGGGCGUUAAGUUGCAGGGUAUAGACCCGAAACCCGGUGAUCUAGCCAUGGGCAGGUUGAAGGUUGGGUAACACUAACUGGAGGACCGAACCGACUAAUGUUGAAAAAUUAGCGGAUGACUUGUGGCUGGGGGUGAAAGGCCAAUCAAACCGGGAGAUAGCUGGUUCUCCCCGAAAGCUAUUUAGGUAGCGCCUCGUGAAUUCAUCUCCGGGGGUAGAGCACUGUUUCGGCAAGGGGGUCAUCCCGACUUACCAACCCGAUGCAAACUGCGAAUACCGGAGAAUGUUAUCACGGGAGACACACGGCGGGUGCUAACGUCCGUCGUGAAGAGGGAAACAACCCAGACCGCCAGCUAAGGUCCCAAAGUCAUGGUUAAGUGGGAAACGAUGUGGGAAGGCCCAGACAGCCAGGAUGUUGGCUUAGAAGCAGCCAUCAUUUAAAGAAAGCGUAAUAGCUCACUGGUCGAGUCGGCCUGCGCGGAAGAUGUAACGGGGCUAAACCAUGCACCGAAGCUGCGGCAGCGACGCUGAUGCGUUGUUGGGUAGGGGAGCGUUCUGUAAGCCUGCGAAGGUGUGCUGUGAGGCAUGCUGGAGGUAUCAGAAGUGCGAAUGCUGACAUAAGUAACGAUAAAGCGGGUGAAAAGCCCGCUCGCCGGAAGACCAAGGGUUCCUGUCCAACGUUAAUCGGGGCAGGGUGAGUCGACCCCUAAGGCGAGGCCGAAAGGCGUAGUCGAUGGGAAACAGGUUAAUAUUCCUGUACUUGGUGUUACUGCGAAGGGGGGACGGAGAAGGCUAUGUUGGCCGGGCGACGGUUGUCCCGGUUUAAGCGUGUAGGCUGGUUUUCCAGGCAAAUCCGGAAAAUCAAGGCUGAGGCGUGAUGACGAGGCACUACGGUGCUGAAGCAACAAAUGCCCUGCUUCCAGGAAAAGCCUCUAAGCAUCAGGUAACAUCAAAUCGUACCCCAAACCGACACAGGUGGUCAGGUAGAGAAUACCAAGGCGCUUGAGAGAACUCGGGUGAAGGAACUAGGCAAAAUGGUGCCGUAACUUCGGGAGAAGGCACGCUGAUAUGUAGGUGAGGUCCCUCGCGGAUGGAGCUGAAAUCAGUCGAAGAUACCAGCUGGCUGCAACUGUUUAUUAAAAACACAGCACUGUGCAAACACGAAAGUGGACGUAUACGGUGUGACGCCUGCCCGGUGCCGGAAGGUUAAUUGAUGGGGUUAGCGGUAACGCGAAGCUCUUGAUCGAAGCCCCGGUAAACGGCGGCCGUAACUAUAACGGUCCUAAGGUAGCGAAAUUCCUUGUCGGGUAAGUUCCGACCUGCACGAAUGGCGUAAUGAUGGCCAGGCUGUCUCCACCCGAGACUCAGUGAAAUUGAACUCGCUGUGAAGAUGCAGUGUACCCGCGGCAAGAC
rnacentral:rRNA from 1 species